UGGGUUGUAUUCGGCGGCAGGCUCCGUGCUUCGGCAUCGAACUGUCGGCUCGUACACCGCGUCAUUGAUGCAUCGAGAUUCGUCUUGUGCGCAAGAUGGGUUUCUGUUUUGUCUACCUAUUGUGAAGGAAUGUUGCCUCUCGUCGUCCCUUUCCUCCUCUUGCUGGCCUUGCCGGCGGGAGGACGACAUCGUAGCGGUACUCGUGUCCCGGACGGCCCACACUCGUUGUGGUGCAGUUUUGGUCCUUGAUUUUUCGCUCGACAUCUCGGGUGCGGAACACUGAAGGGGCGGUGGGUCUUUACGGCCUCCGAUCGUCCAAUCGAAGCUUUGUCGCGGACGCGCACGACUGUCUCGCCCGUUGCGAGCCCUCGACCGUCAAGCUCGUC
rnacentral:misc_RNA from 1 species